rnacentral:rRNA from 1 species
UACGUAGGGGGCGAGCGUUGUCCGGAAUUACUGGGCGUAAAGGGCGCGUAGGCGGCACAUUAAGUUAGAUGUGAAAUUCCCGGGCUUAACCUGGGCGUUGCAUUUAAAACUGAUGAGCUUGAGUGCAGGAGAGGAAAGCGGAAUUCCUAGUGUAGCGGUGAAAUGCGUAGAUAUUAGGAGGAACACCAGUGGCGAAGGCGGCUUUCUGGACUGUAACUGACGCUGAGGCGCGUAAGUCGGGGGAGCAAAC